UGCAAUUACUCACCAUGACUGCUCCUUUUGACCCACUGGACAGUCCAGGAUGACUGGCCAGGAUGCUGUCAUUUUUAGUCGAAACUCCACUGAGGGAAGUUUAGAACUGAAGCUGCGAAGCUAGUGUGAUAAACUAAGGU